rnacentral:misc_RNA from 1 species
UAGAUUUUAGCAGCUAAUUAACAAGAAUGGGUUUCUUACAUUUAGAUACCUACACAGCCAUCAAAGCUAAAAGCUUGUAUCUCAGGAAGCUGGGGAAAUCAGAGUUAUAAGUUUUGUAACCUGCACUUAAUAAUUCCAAGAGGUCCUUAAAUGUGAAGCUUCACUGAAAUUGCAUAUUGUCUGGAUUCUUCAGGUUACAAGGUUUUUAACUUUAGGAUGAAAAAUGUAGAUGGAG